GAUGAACGCUGGCGGCGUGCUUAACACAUGCAAGUCGAACGGGAAACCUUUUAUUGAAGCUUCGGCAGAUUUAGCUGGUUUCUAGUGGCGGACGGGUGAGUAACGCGUGGGUAACCUGCCUUAUACAGGGGGAUAACAGUCAGAAAUGGCUGCUAAUACCGCAUAAGCGCACAGAGCUGCAUGGCUCAGUGUGAAAAACUCCGGUGGUAUAAGAUGGACCCGCGUUGGAUUAGCUGGUUGGUGGGGUAACGGCCCACCAAGGCGACGAUCCAUAGCCGGCCUGAGAGGGUGAACGGCCACAUUGGGACUGAGACACGGCCCAGACUCCUACGGGAGGCAGCAGUGGGGAAUAUUGCACAAUGGGGGAAACCCUGAUGCAGCGACGCCGCGUGAAGGAAGAAGUAUCUCGGUAUGUAAACUUCUAUCAGCAGGGAAGAUAAUGACGGUACCUGACUAAGAAACCCCGGCUAACUACGU
rnacentral:rRNA from 1 species